AGUGAACGCUGGCGGUAGGCCUAACACAUGCAAGUCGAACGGCAGCACAGUAAGAGCUUGCUCUUACGAGUGGCGAGUGGCGGGCGGGUGAGGCAUACAUCGGAAUCUACUUUUUCGUGGGGGAUAACGUAGGGCGAAUUACGCUACUACCUCAUACGACCUACGGGUGAAAGCAGGGGAUAUUCGGACCUUGCGCGAUUGAAUGAGCCGAUGUCGGAUUAGCUAGUUGGCGGGGUAAAGGCCCACCAAGGCGACGAUCCGUAGCUGGUCUGAGAGGAUGAUGAGCCACACUGGAACUGAGACACGGUCCAGAUUCCUACGGGAGGCAGCAGUGGGGAAUAUUGGACAAGGGGCGCAAUCCUGAUCCAGCCAUACCGGGUGGGUGAAGAAGGCCUUCGGGUUUUAAAGCCUUUUUGUUGGGAAAGAAAAGCAUCAGGUUAAUACCCCGCUGUUCUGACGGUACCCAAAGAAUAAGCACCGGCUAACUUCGUG
rnacentral:rRNA from 1 species